rnacentral:rRNA from 1 species
UACGAAGGGGGCUAGCGUUGUUCGGAAUUACUGGGCGUAAAGCGCGCGCAGGCGGCUAUCCAAGUCAGUGGUGAAAGCCCGGAGCUCAACUCCGGAACUGCCAUUGAAACUGUUUAGCUUGAGGAUGAGAGAGGUGAGUGGAAUUCCCAGUGUAGAGGUGAAAUGCGCAGAUAUCGGGAGGAACACCGGUGGCGAAGGCGGUUCUCUGGGCCUUACCUGACGCUGAGGAGCGAAAGCGU